rnacentral:tRNA from 1 species
GACAGUAUAGCUCAGUGGUAGAGCACGUGCUUAGUACGCACGAGGUCCUGGGUUCAAUCCCCAGUACCUCCA